UGCGGGGGGGGCGAGCGUUGUUCGGAAUUACUGGGCGUAAAGGGCUCGUAGGCGGCCUACUAAGUCAGACGUGAAAUCCCUCAGCUUAACCGGGGAACUGCGUCUGAGACUGGAAGGCUUGAAUCCGAGAGAGGGAUGUGGAAUUCCAGGUGUAGCGGUGAAAUGCGUAGAUAUCUGGAGGAACACCGGUGGCGAAGGCGGCAUCCUGGACCGGUAUUGACGCUGAGGAGCGAAAGCCAGGGGAGCAAACGGG
rnacentral:rRNA from 1 species